CGGAAGGAUCAUUACCGAGUGAGGGCCCUCUGGGUCCAACCUCCCACCCGUGUUUAUCGUACCUUGUUGCUUCGGCGGGCCCGCCUCACGGCCGCCGGGGGGCAUCCGCCCCCGGGCCCGCGCCCGCCGAAGACACACAAACGAACUCUUGUCUGAAGAUUGCAGUCUGAGUACCUGACUAAAUCAGUUAAAACUUUCAACAACGGAUCUCUUGGUUCCGGCAUCGAUGAAGAACGCAGCGAAAUGCGAUAAGUAAUGUGAAUUGCAGAAUUCAGUGAAUCAUCGAGUCUUUGAACGCACAUUGCGCCCCCUGGUAUUCCGGGGGGCAUGCCUGUCCGAGCGUCAUUGCUGCCCUCAAGCACGGCUUGUGUGUUGGGCUCUCGCCCCCCGCUUCCGGGGGGCGGGCCCGAAAGGCAGCGGCGGCACCGCGUCCGGUCCUCGAGCGUAUGGAGCUUCGUCACCCGCUCUGUAGGCCCGGCCGGCGCCCGCCGGCGAACACCAUCAAUCUUAACCAGGUUGACCUCGGAUCAGGUAGGGAUACCCGCUGAACUUAAGCAUAUCAAUA
rnacentral:rRNA from 1 species